rnacentral:lncRNA from 1 species
CACACUAGCUUCAGUAAAGCUGCUGUGUAAAUGGCAUUUAAAAUCACUGUUAUCACCACUGACAGAGAUGACGUCAGCUCUUUGCCACCUGAGUAAAUAAACAUUUAUAAGGUGCUGUAAGUCUGAAGAAUGUCACACUGCUCCAAUAGACUUCAUUUUCAGGCAAGAGUGAAAUAGGCAACCACAAGAACCCCGUCACCACAUUUGAUGAGUUGUCCAUUCUCUUCUCUAAUACAGGAUAUUUUUGACCCUAGAUACUUUUUCCUUUAAAUUUGAUGGAGCUGUGAUCAUGCCUCUGACCUCUAGCCUUGAAAGAAGACGAGUUAUGCCUCUCAGGAGUGAUGCCUCAGGCACUUUGCAAGUCGGCUGGCAGGAUUAUUUCCCAGGCUGUGAAGUGAUGACCUUCUACCGAGAGUGAAUGUCUGCAGCGCACGUAAAUUCUACCAGC